CAUAGCAAGGUUGGUUAAUUGUCAAGUUCAUAUAAUUAGCAAAUGACAGAUUUUUUUAACCUGGAUCCAUCAGACUCCAAAGGUAUCUCUUAGCCACUCUAGUGCCUUAUUUAUAAUUUUUCAUUAAUAUUUUAGCAAAUUAAUGUGCUACAAUUUUCUCCAAUUUCUAGUCACUCUUUAAAAUGUUGGAAAUUUUUUUUCGAUUCUCACCUUUACAAAAAUGCAUAAAUGAAAAUGCUAACAGUGGAAGAUGCUUCUUAGCCAUUACAUAAAUCUAAUAUCUUGUGAAAAAGCAGAGAACUAACACAAGACUUCCUUGUCAUUGUCUAUUUGAAGAUUGAUUUUUCAUGGACCAUAAAAAGCUACUUUCCAGAGUACAGACACAAAGUCACUGGCAGGUUGGAGAUAAGCGAAUUUUCAGGAGGCCCACCUCUGUAUCCAAACUGUUAACUCAAUAUAAUAUCAAGUUCCAAAAGUAAAGCUGUUAUCUUAUGGCUGCUUGACAAUUUCAUUUGUACCUUUCAAGUGAAAAAAGUAAAAAACUAAAUCUUACUUUUUAUGUAAUCCAAUUUAUUACGGGUUGAAUCAUGUCCCCCUGAAAUGAUAUGUUGGAAUCCAAACUCCCAGUCGCUUAGAUGUGACCUUUGCAGAUGCAGUCAUGUUGCAAUGAGGUCAUUAGUGUGGACCUUAAAGCAAAUGAAUGGUGUCCUUAAAUAAGAGGAAAUUUGGUCACAGAGACAGACACAUGUAGAGGGAAGGUGAUGUGAAGAGACAAAAGGAGAAGAUGAUCAGCUAAAAGUUGAAGAGAGAGGCUUGAAACACAUCUUUCUCUCACAAACCUCGGAAGAAACUGACCCCUUGAGUUCAGACUUCAGCCUCCAGAGCUGGGAGACAAUACAUUUCUAUUGUUGAAGUCACCCAGGAUUUGGUUCUCUGCUACAGCAGCUGUAGCAAACAAGUAUUGCUUUCUAGGCCUUAGCGAUAGAGUGCGAAGAACUUAAGAUAUAAUUUCAGUGUUUUUCUGCCUCUACCCUGUUUUGGAAAAACCAGACCUCUAAGUUUACUCGUAGUUAUCAGUCCUAUGUGCUUGAAGCCUUUCUGCUUUUUUUCUCCUUACAUUUUCAUUAUCUGCCUGACAUGCUGUCCUUGUAGUCACUGUUUUGUGAAUCCUGCUCUUGGUUUCUCACAUUUCACUGGUGGAAACGAAGAUGAAGACCGAGAGAAGGGAGGGUGAAGGACAGACUGCUAAGUGCAGAGGGGUGCUCAGGACCUGGGCAUGGUGCAGUAUAUGGAGACUAGAGUGGAGGUGGGGUCCAAGGAACACCUUAUCCUCGACAUAUAUAACCCUCAGUGACCUGAGAGGUAGUAGGUGGCUCCUCUCAGACUCAGAGACUCUGAUCGUAGCUUAGGGUUUCUGAGUAAGAUUACCAAACUCCAUGUAACAACAAUUAGUGGAGUGUAGUUUCACCUCCCAAAUCUGAAGAAAAAUACCUGUAUCAAAGAAAACUCUGGUUACCAUCAACUAAGUUAAUAAAAAUACAUGAAUACUGCAGCAUGUACACAAUUAGUUAAUAAAUUUCAACUCAAUAAUUAUCUGAAAUUAGGAAAGCAUAAAAGAUAGGAAUGUGCUACAUACCAACUCCAUGUUUUUGUACAAACACCAUGGUUACAAACAUGGAUUGUAGAAACCAUGGUUUGUACACCAUGGUUACAAACACCAUGUUGUGAAAUUAAUAAUAAAUGGUACUGUGUAAUCAAAAAAUCUGAAUUUGCAGACUAACAUUAUUUGCCAACUACUUGGCUAUGCAUAAUUAAAUGUUUAAAUAAAAGGCUAAAGCAUUUAUGUAUAUACUCAUCCAGCAAAUAUGUUUUAUGGUCUCCUGUGUUCCAGGCAUUUAAAUAAUUUGUAGAAAGUCGUGAUUGCAAAGGUUUUCUGUUGUGUGCUUUUAAGCAUGGCAUGUAAUGUCUGGAGGCUUGUGUCCUCUCUUUCUAUGAAAAAAGGAGUUGUAUUAUAUUACCUGGAAAGGUCUUCCCACUUUAAACUUCUUUGACUUUUAUGAUUCCAUUCACUCCAUACUUUAAUAAAUUUGUUCCCACUGUUUGGUAUCUUUAACUUGUGCAGAAAUCCAUUCUCUUGAUUAUAAAGUCCAAACGUGUGGCUGGUUCUUUGAUCUGCUUAAGGAUGCUCCCAGGCUUCAAGCUGUUAAAGUUUUCUGGGUCAUAGACUAAAUUUGGAAAAUGGCAAGAUUUUAAGCAGCUACUACUGUAAGAUUUACUACCAUACUUUCUAUUGUCCCCAAAUAGCCCUUCUUAACAUUUACCUUCUACUUCUGAAUAUGCCAUAAACAGUCCACUUACCUUUUCAAAAUUAACAGCUAUCGUGAGCACAUUAAAAGGGCACCAUUGUGAAGUUUGUUUUAUGUUUCUUUCCAUUAAAACAUAUUAUUUUCAACAUCUUGCUGUUUUACUUCUUUUCCCUGGUGUUGAGCACAAUUACCACAAUAUUCUUACAACUCUGCUUUAAAGCUCUCCUCCCAGCUGAAAGCCACACUACAUCGUUAACUCCACAAGGUCCAAUAACGUUUUCCCAAACAUGUUGUGACUGUCACCACUGGAGAGCAAUGCUUUUAGGGAAAAACCUGGAGUUGGUAUGUAGCAUGUUCCUUUCUUUUAUGCUUUCCUAAUUUUAGAUAAUUAUUGAGUGAAGUUUAUUAGCUAAUUGUGUACAUGCUGCGGUAUUCAAGUACUUUCAUUUAUGUAGUUGACGGUAACUAGAGUUUUCUUUGAUACAGGUAUUUUUCUUCAGAUUUGGGAGGAGAAACUGCACUCCACUAAUUGUGGUUACUGGAAGCCCAAUAUGGUUCUAACUAGAACUUAAUCAACUGUAGUUAUAACGGAAUUAUUCCAUGCACCUUGGAGAAUUAUAUUAAUUUUUCUCUACUAAGAUAUCAUCCAGUGGGAUCUAUACUGAAGUAUCCACAAACCAUGGGCACUAUUUUACCUGUAACAAGGGGAGCAAGUUGAGUAGCAGGAACUUGAACUACUUGAGUCAAAUAAACUCAAGUUCAAGUUGAGUAUUGUAACAUUUUAACAUUUCUAGUAUUGCUCUUCUCUGGUUUCAGGAAAAAAAUGACACUUUGAUUUCAAUUAAAAUUAAUUUUUGGGGUGUAUAAUUGAAAAGCCCUUAGCUUAGCUUGAAUUGAUUUACUGAUCACUAAAAUAAAUUUUAGAAAUUCAAUUUUCUUUCAUUGCCACCUUCAGUAAAUCUUUGUCACAUACUCUAUUUUUGGUUCAAGGUGCCAUUUGAUUUAAAGGUCUGUGUGAGAAGAUCUCUUGGGUAGGGAUGAAAAUUUACUAGAUAGUUUUCAAACAUGUUCAUAAAUUCUCCAAAUUGUCCUUUAGCUCCGUACUUGCCAAUGCUCUAACUUGUUGGUCAUUUGGUAGUCUAAAGCACUCUCAAGACCAUGUCUCAGAAGUUAUUCAGAGAAGACCUAGGUUCCUGACCAAGAUCAUUGAGAGAAAGCAAAGUGACUUAAGGCAAAAAAGGCAUCUAAUGAUGGUGGAGAUGAUAAUUCUUUAUCAUUUUAUGGAGGAGUAAUUGACGUAUAUUUAAAAUUUACAAUUUCAUCAUGAAUCCAUAGUUACUCCCAAACAUUUCCUCUUGCUUAGCUUUAACUCUCCUUCCCAUUUCUAACUGCUCUAUCCCCAAACAACCAGUAAUCUGCUUUUGCCAUGAUAGAUGUGUGUGGUUUUCUAGAUGUUUAUGUAAAUAAAAUCAUACAGUAGGCAUUCUUUUUUUGGUCUGGCUUUUUUCUCUCAGAAUAGAUAGUUAAGUUUCACUCAUAUUAUUGUGUGCACAAAUAGUUCACUGCUCUUGCUAAAUUGCAUUCAACUACAUAGAUAUACCAUAAUGUGUUUAUCCACUCACUCAUUAAUGAUAGCCAGCACAAAAAUGAGAAACUCAGCCUUACAAUGACAGGGGAAGCAUUAGUUAACAUGAAUGAUCUUGGAAUAGGAUCUUGAGCCUUAGAUGAAGCUGUGCAUAUCAACACCUUGAUUUCAGUCUGGAGAAGCCCUACACAAAGGAUUCAGCUAACUUGAAAUCAGACUUCAGACCCAUGGGAACUGUGUGACAAUAAGUUUGUGUUGUUUUAAGCUUUUAUGUUUAUGGUAAUUUGUUACAGAGCAGAGGUCAGGAAAUGCUUCAGUGAGGAUUGGCAUAUGAAAAAGUCAAAGUCUGCUCAGGAGGUAAGAGGAAAGAGAAUAUUGUUGGCAGAGGGUGCAGCUUGUUCAAAUGCUUGUUGGUGGAUGGCCAGGGGAGCAUUCAAGGAGCUGGAAGAAAGACAUUGACUGGAGUGUAGCUGCUCAGAAAGAGACUGAAUUGAGAUGAGGCUGAAGAGAAGGAAAUGGUUUCCAGGAAUACUGAUCCUGACUCACUUACCAAGGCAAUGGGCUUAUGGUAUUUGACCCUCAAUGUUCCUCCUGUGCUGCCUGCCAUUCUUCUUUGAUUUGUCUCCAGCACAGCAGCGUUACUUUUAUCACAAAGGAGAAUGACAGAAAUCAAGGUCUUCAUGUUAAGCAUAUUAUUCUUAACUGCUUAGAGAAUUUUCCCACUGGAUUGCCCUAUUGUAUUUUAAAUUUUAUUUUAGCUCUAUUUUCUCGUCUGUAAAGUGAAGGGGUUAGGCUACGUUCUUCUCAUUCUAUGGUGCUGUGAUUAGGAGAAUGGGAGGUGAAGAAAGAAUCAGAGCUGCAAGUGAAUAUGAUUAUCACAGAAUCACAAGUACAGUGUAUUAUGCAUGUUUUAAAACUAGAUAUAGUAUUUAUAUUCUAAAGUGUUUCCUUAUGAAUUACCUUCAUCCUUCAGUGUACUGUUUAGUCUUGCUGCAAACAUAAUCCUUACACAAAUCCAAAUCAAUUUGUUUGUCCUCUAUGUAAGAUACUUAAAAUUUUCAAAAUGUGUUUAUGUCCAAAGAUGAAAUGUUUAGUUUUAUAGAAUUCUCUCAGUUGAUAUAGAGCUUUCUAAGACUGACUGUAAAUAUCCACUAAAAUACAUUCUCCCCCUUACUCAUGACUUUUGAGAGGACUUAAGCAUUAGCGAUCAUUUUAAAUUUAGUGAUUCCAUAUUCUUUAUUUAAUGCCUCGCUGCUCUAUUUGAAACCAAACCAUACAUUUCAACAUUUAAGAACAAAUGAAGUUUGAAAAGACUUGUAUUGGGUUCAAUAAUUUUUCUCUUAAAAAUACUUCAAAUAUUACUAAUUGUUCUUAUUGCACAGAGAUGCCAAACUGGUGGUCAGAGUAGUUAUCUGCUAAACUACUUAUAUCUUAGCUGAUAGAACAAGAGGAACUUAAAAUAUUCAGAGACUUAGAAUACAAUGAGAUUCGUACAGUUUGCUCUAAUAAGCCCUUGGAUAAACGGUGACUUUUGAAAGACUCUUGAAUUACACAUCCAGGCUUCAGAUUUGGACUUUGGAAAGCAGUAGCAUCAACAUCAAUAAAAGGGGUUGGUGGAUGCAAACUGUUACAUUUGGAAUGGAUGGGCAAGGGAGUCCUACUGUACAGCACAGGGAACUGUGUAUGACUGGGUCACUUUGCUGUUACAACAGAAAUUGCAGAAACAUUGUAAAUCAACCAUACUUCAAUAAAAAAAUAAAACAACAAAAUCACAACCACCACAACACAAAACCCAGGGAAAUACAUUUAAGUAGUUAAAACUUUUUCCUUCAAGUUUAAUUUUUCUAACACUAUUAGUAGAUUCCUAGUAAUAAACUGUCAUUUGUUC